rnacentral:lncRNA from 1 species
AUUUUUUUCUCCCCUUACCUUUGUGCGACUCCUGGGAGCCUCUAUAGCUCAAGAACGCCGCCAAAAAUAAAAUCGAAUAAAAUAAAAUAAGGGAAAAAAAAAAAAAUCCCUUCUCUCGGUGCUGGGAGGGGAGAGAAGGGGGGAAGAGGAGGGGAGACAGGGAGCCCUGUGUGAAAUCGAAGCGCUGAAGCCGGGCACGGGAGGCGGUGCGCAGCCUCCAGCUGCUGCUCGGAUUACUUUGCAGCCGUGGCAAUUCCGAGCGCUCCGCAGCCACCAUUGCACGGAGGGAGGAGAUGGGAGGAAGAGAGCGGGGCUCGGGAGGGGUCGUACACCCCGACCUCCCCGCUUUGGGGAUGGCCGCAGCGGGGAAAAAAGUGCUUUGCCUCCAGCCCAAGGCUCUGUGUUUUCACCUCCCCAUCCCCUCUCCGCUUUUUGGAGCAGAUGACCCCUCACCGCCGCACCGCCGAGAUCCCACGAGUGGCAAAAAAAAAACCCUCAACACACCGCAAAAGUUUUCCCACUCGGAGACACUGCGGGUGGGGGAGGGGAGAACCCCCAUCGAUCUGCCCCCGCCCGGCUCAGCGCAUCCCCAUCUCUCCGGGGCGGCUCAGCCUUUCCCCCCUCCCCCCCCCCAAAAAAAAGUAAGAGAAUUUGGGAUGGGUGAUCCUCCCCACACCCCGCAGCUCUGCGUCGGGAGAGGAUGGGGGAGGCACUCACCAGGACCGGGCUCAUAGGUGGAUGCACAAUGGGAACAUCGGAGAAUAAAGACCUACGUAUAAGCAACCAGUGAAUGAAGACUUACAUGAAGACUUAACUGUUGAGCAGGAGACACAAAUGCAUUUCCAUUAUCAUUUCAACUUGACUCCUUCCACCUCUUUGCAAUAAUUCAAUGACUCCUGUUUCCAUAGCAAUGAAGGGCCUCAAUGUUUUCGUGCAAUUGUCUUCAAAACAUCCCUGAGAAGUGAGGAGGUAUUGUCUGCAGGCUGCAGCUGGGGAAAUGAGGCACAGCACGAUGUGUUUUAAUCUGUCUCUUUUAGCACCUGACUGGAGUGAUGGGUUCAUUUCAACCCCCACAGCUGCAAGCAAGGAGAGAGCCC